rnacentral:tRNA from 1 species
GUGAGCGUGGUGUAAGGGCGGCACGCCGGGUUGUGAUCCCGGAAGGAAUGGGUUCGAGUCCCUUCGUUCACCCCA